rnacentral:lncRNA from 1 species
GACAGGAAAGAUGCAACAACAUUUUUCUUGGCUAAAAACCUGAGCAUUGUAUAGGAACAGAAAUCUAUGUUGUUUUUUUCUUUAGGUCCUAUCCUCCUCUGAUUGGAAGUCAAAGACAACAUUAGUAACUCUGAGAUGGUACCUGAGAACGUUAUUCAUUAAAGUACCCUUUUGUUUUAAGUUUUCAUUAUUCAUGACAAUGACCUUUAGGAGUCAGCAUAGUAAAGGUUUCUUGCCCUUACUCCUGUGAUAGUCUAAUCAAACAUUUCUUGAGGUGUCUUGGAAAAUAGAGAAAUGGUUCUUUUGUUAUCAAUAUUUUACCAACCAUCAGCUAAUACUCUUUAAGGAUGUAUUUUGACCACAUUCUCUAUUCAAGUGGCUUACAGAACUAAGUUGAAACAAUUAUUUAAUAUUACAGGAUGAUGAAGAGGAACUUAAAAUACCCCAGUGCAAUCCAUGCAAGCAGCUGAAUGCUCCUUUUUCUUUUCUUUUCCAGAUAAGUCUCUGUUAAAGACAGCUUUACCUUACCCCUCAGGAAUGUUCUGUUUGAAGCAGACCCAGCUAAUCCGUGAACAGAGAUCAACAAUUAAAGCUCUUGGGCAUUGACUUUUGCUGCGGAAACAGGGAGGCUGAAGCUGAGUAAACAAGAUGAGUAUAUUCACAGCAGCUGGCUGUGUGCUCUACAGAAAUUGGCAAUCACAGUUUGGGGCCAAGCUGAGGCAGAGGAUGUGGAGGGCUUGGAAUCGUGGACCGAGGAGUACUUUUUGCUUAUUUGACAUAAUACCAUAGCAACAAGCUGUUAUGCUGCACAAGCUGGUCUCAUUAGGAGUGUUGUUUGCAUCCUUCCCUUGGAAAGGGGACACAGCACUGCACCCUGUGGCUAAGACUGACACAGGGCAGCUGAAGAACCAGAGAACUGGAGAAUGGUUUGAGAAAGUGUCCUCCUCAUUGCAGUCGAUACCUUCUAGUUCACGUGUUGAAAGGACAGAACCCUGUAGACAGAAGACGGAUUGGCUCACACUGGAUAAAUGA